rnacentral:rRNA from 1 species
AGAGUUUGAUCAUGGCUCAGAUUGAGCGCUGGCGGCAGGCCUAACACAUGCAAGUCGAACGGUAACAGGAAGCAGCUUGCUGCUUCGCUGACGAGUGGCGGACGGGUGAGUAAUGUCUGGGAAGCUGCCUGAUGGAGGGGGAUAACUACUGGAAACGGUAGCUAAUACCGCAUAAUGUCGCAGGACCAAAGAGGGGGACCUUCGGGCCUCUUGCCAUCGGAUGUGCCCAGAUGGGAUUAGCUUGUUGGUGGGGUAACGGCUCACCAAGGCGACGAUCCCUAGCUGGUCUGAGAGGAUGACCAGCCACACUGGAACUGAGACACGGUCCAGACUCCUACGGGAGGCAGCAGUGGGGAAUAUUGCACAAUGGGCGCAAGCCUGAUGCAGCCAUGCCGCGUGUAUGAAGAAGGCCUUCGGGUUGUAAAGUACUUUCAGCGGGGAGGAAGGGAGUAAAGUUAAUACCUUUGCUCAUUGACGUUACCCGCAGAAGAAGCACCGGCUAACUCCGUGCCAGCAGCCGCGGUAAUACGGAGGGUGCAAGCGUUAAUCGGAAUUACUGGGCGUAAAGCGCACGCAGGCGGUUUGUUAAGUCAGAUGUGAAAUCCCCGGGCUCAACCUGGGAACUGCAUCUGAUACUGGCAAGCUUGAGUCUCGUAGAGGGGGGUAGAAUUCCAGGUGUAGCGGUGAAAUGCGUAGAGAUCUGGAGGAAUACCGGUGGCGAAGGCGGCCCCCUGGACGAAGACUGACGCUCAGGUGCGAAAGCGUGGGGAGCAAACAGGAUUAGAUACCCUGGUAGUCCACGCCGUAAACGAUGUCGACUUGGAGGUUGUGCCCUUGAGGCGUGGCUUCCGGAGCUAACGCGUUAAGUCGACCGCCUGGGGAGUACGGCCGCAAGGUUAAAACUCAAAUGAAUUGACGGGGGCCCGCACAAGCGGUGGAGCAUGUGGUUUAAUUCGAUGCAACGCGAAGAACCUUACCUGGUCUUGACAUCCACGGAAGUUUUCAGAGAUGAGAAUGUGCCUUCGGGAACCGUGAGACAGGUGCUGCAUGGCUGUCGUCAGCUCGUGUUGUGAAAUGUUGGGUUAAGUCCCGCAACGAGCGCAACCCUUAUCCUUUGUUGCCAGCGGUCCGGCCGGGAACUCAAAGGAGACUGCCAGUGAUAAACUGGAGGAAGGUGGGGAUGACGUCAAGUCAUCAUGGCCCUUACGACCAGGGCUACACACGUGCUACAAUGGCGCAUACAAAGAGAAGCGACCUCGCGAGAGCAAGCGGACCUCAUAAAGUGCGUCGUAGUCCGGAUUGGAGUCUGCAACUCGACUCCAUGAAGUCGGAAUCGCUAGUAAUCGUGGAUCAGAAUGCCACGGUGAAUACGUUCCCGGGCCUUGUACACACCGCCCGUCACACCAUGGGAGUGGGUUGCAAAAGAAGUAGGUAGCUUAACCUUCGGGAGGGCGCUUACCACUUUGUGAUUCAUGACUGGGGUGAAGUCGGAACAAGGUAACCGUAGGGGAACCUGCGGUUG